GACGGGUGAGUGNCACGUGGGAAUCUAUCCUUUGCUACGGAACACUCCGGGAAACUGGAGCUAAUACCGUAUGUGCCCUUCGGGGGAAAGAUUUAUCGGCAAGGGAUGAGCCCGCGUCGGAUUAGCUAGUUGGUGGGGUAAAGGCCUACCAAGGCGACGAUCCGUAGCUGGUCUGAGAGGAUGAUCAGCCACACUGGGACUGAGACACGGCCCAGACUCCUACGGGAGGCAGCAGUGGGGAAUAUUGGACAAUGGGGGCAACCCUGAUCCAGCCAUGCCGCGUGAGUGAUGAAGGCCCUAGGGUUGUAAAGCUCUUUCACCGGUGAAGAUAAUGACGGUAACCGGAGAAGAAGCCCCGGCUAACUUCGUGCCAGCAGCCGCGGUAAU
rnacentral:rRNA from 1 species